rnacentral:tRNA from 1 species
ACUUAAAUAGCUUAUAAAGAGCGUAGUAUUGAAGAUACUAAGGAAAUGUAAUAUUUUUAAGUA